UAUCGUUGAUAAAACACAGAGAGAAAUUUAAUAUAUAUAGGUGAUGUAAAACAAGAAAGAUAGUACGUAGUGUAGUACCCCUGACCUAAUUUGCCACUUGAAUGAGUCUUGAAGUAAUUGGGGCAUCGGACCACAUAUAUUCACAGGAGGGCCAAUUCAUUCACCGAUGGGUUGCUGGCAUUUACCAAUUCAAGGCUAGAUCGAGUCAAGUAGUGACUGAUGUGAUCAGCACCUCGUCAUGCACCUCUCGUAUCGAUCUCUUCCACCACAGAAAAGAGAUGGGCAAGCUGUAGCUAUAGCUAGCUAGGAGAGACUUGACAGAGGUGAGGGAUGAGUUUUAAAAGUGUGUAGGUUAAUUAUUCAGGCCGGUGAUCGAGAUCGCUGAGUACUGGUUUGAUAUGAACAGCGCGCAGAAGAAGGAUCGAUCUUUCCCGAUCUCUAUGAAUUUAGUUUACUUUAAGAACCUGCAGGCUGAUGCUUCUGCAUGCAUGCCUGUGUAUUACUAUUAUUGAAUGCUUAAUUAAUCAGUAUGACCUAAAAAGAAUUAACACUA